AGUUAAGUCGUCUAAUAAUAAAUAAUAAUAGUUUUCAUGUUUCUGCAAACAUUCAGAUCGCUAGCUAGCUGCUGCAUCUAAUUCUCCGAUUUGAGGUAAUCUUAAACCUUCUUUCGAUUCUGAAUCUCUUUCUUGAAUUAUGAUGAUUGCUUAACUUUCUUCUUAACAAGAUCAUCUUCGCGCUUGCUGCAAUUUCUUACGGUUCGAUAUUUAUGGAGAAAU
rnacentral:lncRNA from 1 species